GAAAUCCUGCGAUGUUCGUUACGUUUUAUGUGAUAAACCCACAUUUAGACUAUGGGAGCUUGCGUUGAAUUCCCGAAGUCAAGCCCGCUUGACGGGACGGCUGAAAGAACCACGGGCACCCAACCUGCCGAGAGGCGGGUGUUAUCACACAGGCGGACGGCAUCUCGGGAUUUUC
rnacentral:other from 1 species